rnacentral:rRNA from 1 species
UGGGGAAUAUUGGACAAUGGGCGCAAGCCUGAUCCAGCCAUGCCGCGUGAGUGAUGAAGGCCCUAGGGUUGUAAAGCUCUUUCACCGGUGAAGAUAAUGACGGUAACCGGAGAAGAAGCCCCGGCUAACUUCGUGCCAGCAGCCGCGGUAAUACGAAGGGGGCUAGCGUUGUUCGGAUUUACUGGGCGUAAAGCGCACGUAGGCGGACUUUUAAGUCAGGGGUGAAAUCCCGGGGCUCAACCCCGGAACUGCCUUUGAUACUGGAAGUCUUGAGUAUGGUAGAGGUGAGUGGAAUUCCGAGUGUAGAGGUGAAAUUCGUAGAUAUUCGGAGGAACACCAGUGGCGAAGGCGGCUCACUGGACCAUUACUGACGCUGAGGUGCGAAAGCGUGGGGAGCAAACAGGA